rnacentral:rRNA from 1 species
GAUGAACGCUGGCGGUAUGCCUAACACAUGCAAGUCGAACGGCAGCACAGUAAGAUCUUGCUUUUACGGUUGGCGAGGGGCGGACGGGUGAGGAAUACAUCACAAUCUACUUUUUCGUGGGUGAUAACGUAGGAAAACUUACGCUAAUAGCGCAUACGACCUACGGGUUAAAUCAGUGGUUCUUCACACCUUUCGCGAUUCAAUUAGCCGAUGUCGGAUUAGCUAGUUGGCUGGGUAAAGGCCUACCAAGGCGACGAUCCGUAGCUGGUCUGAGAGGAUGAUCAGCCACACUGGAACUGAGACACGGUCCAGACUCCUACGGGAGGCAGCAGUGGGGAAUCUUGGACAAUGGGCGCAAGCCUGACCCAGCCACACCGCGUGGGUGAAGAAGGCCUUCGGGUUGUAAAGCCCUUUUGUUGGGAAAGAACAGCAGCAGGUUUAUCCCCCGCUGUUCUGACGGUACCCAAAGAAUAAGCCCCGGCUAACUUCGUG